rnacentral:rRNA from 1 species
CCUACGGGCGGCAGCAGUGAGGAAUAUUGGUCAAUGGGCGCGAGCCUGAACCAGCCAAGUCGCGUGAGGGAAGACGGUCCUAUGGAUUGUAAACCUCUUUUGUCGGGGAGCAAAAGACGCCACGCGUGGCGUUCCGAGAGUCCCCGAAGAAAAAGCAUCGGCUACCUCCGUGCCAGCAGCCGCGGUAAUACGGGGGAUGCGAGCGUUAUCCGGUGUUAUUGGGUUUAAAGGGUGCGCAGGCGGAAGAUCAAGUCAGCGGUAAAAUUGAGGGGCUCAACCUCUUCGAGCCGUUGAAACGGGGUUUCGUGAGUGAGUGAGAGGUAUGCGGAAUGCGUGGUGUAGCGGUGAAAUGCAUAGAUAUCACGCAGAACUCCGAUUGCGAAGGCAGCAUACCGGCGCUCAACUGACGCGCAUGCACGAAAGUGUGGGUAUCGAACAGGAUUAGAUACCCCAGUAGUC